UAUGCCUUGCUAAAAGGCAAUUCUACAAGUGAUGUAUUUACUUCAUUUGUGGCUACCAGAAUCAUGACUGCAAGGUCAGUCCAGAUGGCAAUGUCUAGAUGACGAUGCUAGGAGAGGUCCUUGACUUACAACUUUAAAAAGCAUCAGAAGUGACUACUUAAAAAUGUCUGUUUCAUCCAGCCUGGCUGUGAGCAUGGAAAAUGUCUAUAAGUGGUCCCUUCUGGGAAUUGAUGUUUUAAUAGGUCUGUAAGGACAAUGGAGCUUAAGAUGUUGGCAAAUGUAGUGAAGUGAUGGACAACAGACUCUAUAAAGGCUAAAGAGGAAUUUCUACAUUUGAGAAAGUAAUUCUAUUCAGUCUGUACUUGGAAAAUAUUUGAUCUAGUGGAAUGGAAAAUUUUUCCCUGAUAUUUUGGCAUUUGUUGAAAUAUUUUCUAGGCAGUGAUUCUUCAGCCACUGUGUCACAUUGCUGUGGGUUGCUCUGAACAAUUCAGAGUUCACAGGUCUUCGAAUCAAGAAGGGGCCUUGAGGAGCUGCACCCAAAGAAAUGAACUCAAGUAUUGUCAUCUGUACCUGCCUUCAUUGAGAUGAUGAAGCCUUAACUUGUUGCUUUAGCAACACGAGACUUUGGGGAUGUCUUGGGAGGAAGUGAGUACAUCAUGCAUGUGGAAGAAAUGUAAAUAAAUUUUGGUCAUUUUAAAACCUGACCUAGAAAUUCUCUGACACUCCUCCCAUCAAAAACUGGGGCCUAUAUAACAUCCCAUUAAAUUUUAUUUCUGUGACUAUUUGAGCAAUAGAAUAUAGUGGAAUUGAUGUUUUGCUAGUUUUGGGGCCAAAGCCUUAAGAAACUGGCAGCUGCCACUUCCUGUUGCUUGGAGUACUUGCUCCUGUAACCCAGGCAUCAAUCCAUGAGGAUGCACCCUGUGGAGGUGCCCAUAUAGUGAGGCCCAUGUGGAAAGGAACCAAGCAGCCCCUGCUCUCAGCCUGAGUUGAGCUCGUGAACAAUAGACAGCACCAAAUUGCACCCCAUGUGAGUAAAUCAACUUAGAGGUGGAUCCUCCAGUUCCCAGUGGAGUGGCCCCUGCUGAUACUAUCUUGAAAAGAAAUAAACUUUCUCUGCCUGAUCCCAUUUCAUACCAUAAUAAUUGUGAUUUAUCUAUGCAGUAACAGACAACCAAAACAUAACUAUCACAAGAUAAAUAAUCUUGAGGAAAAGGAAGAUGUUUUGGUAGUAAAAUUAUGAGUGCUACAGAGGGUUAAGAGAAUUGUUAUUUUUAAGAAGUAAUCUCUCUCUUUGUAGAUUUAUACUACCCAGACCAGGUGUCUAAUAAAAUAAUCUCUGAAAA
rnacentral:lncRNA from 10 species